rnacentral:lncRNA from 1 species
GGCACCCACGGCAUGUGGAGGUUCCCAGGCUAGGGGUCUAAUUGGAGCUGUUGCUGCUGGCCUACGCCACAGCCACAGCCACACAAGAUCUGAGCCAUGUCUGUGACCUCCACCACAGCUCACAGCAACACUGGAUCCUUAACCCACUGAGCAAGGCCAGGAAUCAAACCUGCAACCUCAUGGUUCCUAAUCAGAUUUGUUUCCGCUGCAUCACAACAGGAACUCCCCCUCCAAACUCUUCAAAUCACUGCUCAGCGAAAGCCCUUUAGAGGCUCCAUCUCAUUUCAAAGAACAGUCCAAGUCUGUCUAACUGACUCAAAGGUCCCGUCCUCUCUGGUCAUCUGCAAUCUCCCUGUCCCCAUCACUUCCCACUCUCCCCCUCACUCUCAGCUCUGGCCACAGCACUGUCCUUGCUGUUCCUGGAUGGUGCCAGGCAACUUCCAGGCAGGUUUUCACACACUGUUCCAUCUGGGGGGGACACCCACACAGCCCCUGCCCUCCUCACCUGAGGUCUACCCCCUGGCCUUUCCUGGUCUCAGCUCACACCAUCCCCUUUCCCCUGUCCUGCUUCACUUUUUAUCAAAGCCUUCCUCAUUAUAUAAUAGAGAGUAUCAUCUUUUAAAUUUACGUUCUGUCUAGCUUUCCCCACUAGAGUAAAAGUCCCGUGAGGGCAGGGCUCUUCACCUGUUCUUUCCACAUCUGUACCCCCAGCACCUGUAACAGAGCUUGGUAGAAUAAAGAGCUCAAAAAUCCCUUACCAAAUGAAUAAACUUGGAAGAUCAUUCAACCCUUAAGUUUGUAGAUGAAAUAUGUCUUAGCUGAAAGAAGGGUCAGAUACGAGUGUUUUCUAUGACAUCAUUCUGCCUCCACAAGAUUUAGUAGCAAGUCUAGCAACCCUAUGCUUAACGAUGCUGACACACAAAAGAAGGACGUGUAUGAGAUACCAGGUUCUUGCAAGCUUGCAUUUGCAUCAUGCUGACUCUUAACGUGUUUUUAAUUGGUUUCCUGUUACGUUUUUAAGCAUCUUCAGCCAUUAAACUAUGUGCUUCCAUAUUUGACUCCAAAAUAACAGACAAUCUUCCACUUACACCAGGUACCCAAAAUAAUCGGAUUCACAAAGACAGGAGGUAGAAAGGUAGCGGCCAGGAGCUGGAGAAGGGGGAUGGGAAGUGGCUGUUUAAUGGGUGCAAAGCUCUGGUUUACAAGAUGAAAAGAGUUCUGGAAAUGGGCGAUGAUCGCACACAACCUGACUGCACUUAAUCCUACAAAACUGUACCCAUAAAAAAUGGUUAAGAUGGUAUGUUUUAAGUUAUGUGUAUUUUGACCCAAUUAAAAAUUAAAAUUAAAAAAGAAAAUUAAAAAAUUAUAAAUGCAUAUCAUUCAUAAAUUAUAUGUGAGCUUAUAAAAGUUAAAGGUUUUCUCUCUCCCCAGUGGUCUCCCUGUAUUUAGAAUCACUCUUUCUGCAUAGAGUCAAAUAGUGUGUAGAAAAGACUCUAAGAGUUAGUAAAAGGCUUUAAAACACUGAGAGGGAGAAGUAAAUCUUUUGAUUCUCAGAGGAACAUGAAUUCCAUUUAGUAUGUACCUAUGGCUAAGAUUCUCCAAAGAAGAUACUAUCCACAUUCAUAUUGAAAAAGCAUCAAAGAACAAGAUCUCUCUUGUCUGAUCAAAUCAAUGUAUCAUUUGAUAAUUACCUGAUUCAUACAGUUGGUUUACUGACAAAUUCUACUGUAUAUAUGCCCAGUGAAUUUCUGAAACAAAAUAAAAAAAUCAAUUGGCACACUUAUUCCUUUGGGAAUUAUACUUGGGGAUUUAUUUAUAUUUUCCUGUAAUGUUUAAUCAUGUCAAAUAAUAAAAUUUAUUAAUCAUGUAGAAUAUAUUAAAAUUCCAGCAUGUCAUUAAAGUUUUACAAACGAAUAAAUUAAAAACCAUGAAUAAUUCAAAAAUCUAAUCUCCACUGAGCUAGAAAUUAAAACCAAAUAGAAUUAUUUACUGAAAAUUCUCUAUGUCAUUGUUACUCAAAGUUUGGUCUGGGGGCCAACAGCAUCCACUGACCUGGGAACUUCUUAGACGUGAGAAUCUCAGACUCUCCCCCCCACCAACCUCCUUUAACAAGGGCUCCACAAGAUCUGUGUGCACUUGAAGAAAAACUGCUCUAGCGAUAUAUAAAGAUAUAUCAUAAAUUUUGAUUUUUUUUUCCCAACUGGUCUCCAUUCCAAAUUUAUGGUCCUCGGGGAUCCAAACCAAAGAAGAACAUUUAUUUUUCUGAUAUCUUGAGCCCUUAUUUCUUAAUGAGUAAAACACACUUUCGAGAGAAAACUGUGUCUCUUUGGGAGAAGUGGAUAUUUUGACAGAGGAUCCCUGUCUUUUAUCUUUGGGAAUCACCCGAUCAUGGAAGCCUGGAAACUACAGGCUUCUCAGGAAAGGAAAUGCUUCAAGAGCCUCAGGAAGAACUCUGUACCCAGUCAAUAACCCAUCAAUGCUGGCCCAGCAACUGACCAGUUAGACUGAGAUCUCUCCCAAUAAACACUUUCUUUUCCAUUCUUGCAGUCAGUAUAUCAAUGGUCUGAUCCCAUCAUUAAAAGCAUAACAAUCAUUGGCAAGAAUACAACAAAGUGCCUUGUCCUGGGCUUGUCCACGCUCCAGGCGUGUACAAGUUCCCAGGCCAGGGAUCAAAUCUAUGCCACAGCAGUGACAACGCUGGAUCCUUAACCCACUGAGCCACAGGCAACUCCAGUACCACCACAACUUUAAAGUAAGUAGAGUUGGCCUGGGAGGCAGAAAGAAGAGCCUCAUUUUGGGACAGUGCCUGGCCUCCCCCAGCCUGCACCCCACAACUGUGUCACAGGCUUAGCUUAUCCCUGGGCUGUUCACCCUCUAAGAAAGCAAGCUGGUGAAUAAGACCUGGAAUUUGCCCGGGUUCCAAGGAUGUCCACUGAGCAAAGGGUACAAAAGGGGAGGAGUCUGGGCGUUUUCGUUCAGUCUGUUGCUAUCAGUGAGGGUGUGGAAAGUCAACGUGGAGAAGCCAAGCGGAGCCUGGCUUUGCAGCUCCUGCGGAUGAGCGGGCCCUGGACACAUCCUCCACCUGUGCUGAACGAAGUCCGUCAGAGAGACGGCGGGAAGGCUGGGCUGCUGAGUCCCCGCCCCUGCCGGGGGGAUGCAGGGCCGGGGAGAAGCACAGGGCCCUGGGCUGGCGGCACAGCAGAGCCAGGAGCCAGGUGGGGGCCCGGCCGUGCUCUGGCCCCUGGGUUUGCGCCCGUGAUUGGGAUUCUCCUGUGGGAGCUGACCUUGCAGGACCUCUUCCCAAACUGGGGCUGGAGGAGGAAGGGCUGCGGGCCGCUAGCUGCCCAUUGUGAUGGUGGAAGAUGUUUUUCUUCCAGCUUCAUCUCAGAGUCAGUCGCUCACCUGAGACCCUCCCACUCACGCUGACCCACGAUGAGGGACCCUAGGGACGCAACCUACUCUUUCUCUACGCACAUCAGAAAAAAACUGCAGGAGCUCCUUCCAUCCUGGCCACUAAGACAUGGGCAGGAUGGGUUCCCCGAGAGGGGACUGGACCCGAAGUGCCUCUCCGGCGCCAGGAGAAGCCCUGGAGAGACGCAGCAAGAGAAUCAGGCCAAGAAGAGCGUGACCAUUCCUGGUCUAUUGCAGCAGGUGCCCUGCCCCGCCAUCCCCUUGAGAAGUAGUGAAUGUCACAAUGUAACUCAUGUCAAAGGGACAGACAAGCCGCUGGCGCCACCUGCGUUUCAGCACAAUCAGUAUCUGCACCUACCUAGCUCCUAAACCAGCUGGGAUUGUUUUUCCUCCUUAGAAGUAAAGACUUCCAAACUUGACUCAAAUCCAGACAACUAAGUUGUUAAUAUUAUGAACAAUGUCCAAGUCAUUUAAGCCAUAAAUUAAACAUUUUAAAAUUGUCUUCAGACUUUUAAGGUGAAACUUUCAGAACACAGUAAUAACAUCUCAAAACUCUAUAAUAUGCAAAUUAACACACAAUUAACAAAUCUAAAAUAACAAAUCUCUUAAGAGCAAAAUGUUGAAUUCAAUAGCAAAGUGAUUUGAUUUACAAUUAUAGAUUCAUAUGCAAAUUUUUGGACCACACACACAGAAUAAUCAGUGUGUUGGCAUAUACACCCUAAACUAGUAUCAGGGACACAUCUUACCUGAAAAAAUCAUGUUUUUAAAAUCAGCUUAAAUUUUUAUUAUGCGGCUAUUUAUAUGCCCCCCGAAUCUAGUUAUUUACCAUUAAUGUGCCAGAUUUGUACCUGAUGGACAACAUUUUCUUUAUAAUCAUUAAAUUUAUCUCUUGACAAAAUUCACGUUUACCAAGUGAAAUAACUGAGACAUAAGAAAUUCAUAUUGUCAAAGCUGUGCCAGAUCAAAAUAUUCUGAAAUAUAUUGAAGGGAUUAAUCAACAAGAAAAUAAAAGGUGACAGGUUUAAGAGAAUGAGAUGAAGAUUAAUCCGAUGACUAACCAGUGCCCUGAUUCAAGAUAAAACAGGUUGCAGGCACUUUCCUAGAGGCAAUUAAAAAUAUAUAGAACAUAAAGAAUAUUUCCGUCUUCUGUACUAUUUUGUAUCUCCUGUCCUUCUACCUCCACCUAAGUCACAGAGCUACUUCCUUCCUAGGACUCUAUUUUAAAUUACAAAAGAGACACAUUUCAUCAGCAUGCCAGGCACUGUAUCUUUUUCAAUGAAAAUUCAUUUACAUAUCUCAUAUCUAAAUCAGAUGGUAUUUCCGAGAAAAGCUGAAGUUCCCUUUGCCUUUUUUUAAGAUAUAUUUAUGGACACAGUUCAUAUUUAUGUAAAAGUCUUCAGCAGAAAUUUCUCUAUAUUGCGAUGGCCAGGAAGUUAGGUUAGAAAGAGACAAGGGUAAGACAGCCAGGGUCAUUGAUUCAUUUUUAGAGAAAAUUGGCAGAAAAUUUAGUUGGAAACUCGGUAAUGUAAUUUAAACGUUUAAAAUAACCUAAUCGUCCUUAAACACAGAUUCCCCCUUUGCCCUAGCUCAUUUAUAUGUCUGUGUUUCUGGUUUAUGCUUCUGCCCUUACAAAGGCAGUAACACAGAGAAUAAAACGUAAGUUACUGAAAAGAAUAGCCCGACUGAAUAUAAU